rnacentral:rRNA from 1 species
UACGGGGGGAGCAAGCGUUGUUCGGCUUUACUGGGCGUAAAGGGCGCGUAGGCGGCCACCGCAAGUCGACUGUGAAAUCUCCGGGCUUAACUCGGAAAGGUCAGCCGAUACUGCGGGGCUAGAGUGCAGAAGGGGCAACUGGAAUUCUCGGUGUAGCGGUGAAAUGCGUAGAUAUCGAGAGGAACACCUGCGGCGAAGGCGGGUUGCUGGGCUGACACUGACGCUGAAGCGCGAAAGCUAGGGGAGCGAACGGG